CCUACGGGUGGCUGCAGCAAGGAAUUUUCCCCAAUGGGCGCAAGCCUGAGGGAGCAACGUCGCGUGCAGGACGACGGCCUUCGGGUUGUAAACUGCUUUUGGGCGGGAAGAGCCUGACGGUACCGCCCGAAUAAGCCCCGGCUAACUCCGUGCCAGCAGCCGCGGUAAGACGGAGGGGGCAAGCGUUGUCCGGAAUCACUGGGCGUAAAGCGCACGUAGGUGGUUUGUUGCGUCGGUGCUGAAAGCUCCAGGCUUAACCUGGUGAGGCGUGCCGA
rnacentral:rRNA from 1 species